rnacentral:rRNA from 1 species
UACGAAGGGGGCUAGCGUUGCUCGGAAUCACUGGGCGUAAAGAGCUCGUAGGCGGUGUGUCGCGUCGGCCGUGAAAACCUGCAGCUUAACUGUGGGCUUGCGGUCGAUACGGGCAUCACUGGAGUUCGGCAGGGGAGACUGGAAUUCCCGGUGUAGCAGUGAAAUGCGUAGAGAUCGGGAGGAACAUCAGUUGCGAAGGCGGCUCUCUGGACCAGCACUGACACUGAGGCACGAAAGCGUGGGGAGCAAACAGG